rnacentral:rRNA from 1 species
CAGGUUCGAAUGUCUUGUAAUUGGAAUGAUGGUGACCCAAACCCUCACCAGAGUAGCAAUUGGAGGGCAAGUCUGGUGCCAGCAGCCGCGGUAAUUCCAGCUCCAAUAGCGUAUAUUAAACUUGUUGCAGUUAAAAAGCUCGUAGUUGUAUUUUGCGUUGACGGUUUGACCAUUUGGUUGGUUAUUUCGUUUUCGCUUUUGGGAAUUUCCCUUUUUACUUUGAGAAAAUUAGAGUGUUUCAAGCAGACUUUUGUCUUGAAUACUUCAGCAUGGAAUAAUAGAGUAGGACUUUGGUUCUAUUUUGUUGGUUAUUGAACCUUAGUAAUGGUUAAUAGGAACGGUUGGGGGCAUUCGUAUUUAACUGUCAGAGGUGAAAUUCUUAGAUUUGUUAAAGACGAACUACUGCGAAAGCAUUUGCCAAGGACGUUUCCAUUAAUCAAGAACGAAAGUUAGGGGAUCGAAGAA